AGUAUCCGAUCUGUAGAACUAUGAACAUAGUUUGAAGACCUUUCUGUUGCAGACCUUGCAGCUUGAUGUCUGAUGAUUAACCUUGGAAUGUAAUUAUUUGACAUAAGCAGAUAGCAUUAUAUUUUGGCAUAGCAAAUAUGUUAGGCUUUGACUAAAAAGGUUAUUUCAUAAAGGUGAGGCUGUCCUGCAAGCAUCUUCUGGGGUCUCUGCUGGUGGCCUAGGAUGAGAGCUGGAAAAGUACAUUAGUUUCUUUUUUCUUUUCUUUCUUUCUUUUUUUUUUUUUUUUUUUAAACAGAUAUUUUCAUCAUGUGAAACAGUUGAAUACUUUGGAUAUAAUCAGUAUCUCACCCUGGUUUUGGCUCUGUUUCUUACCACCUCUUAAAAUUUUUAAUGAGAUUAAUUUUGCUCUUUAAAAAUAUGCAAUUAUCUUAAUUUUGUCUGGAUGCAAUUUUUUCAGAUGCAAGUGAUACUUUAGACUGGUAUUAAAUAGAGACAUUAGUCUUACCUGAUCUCUUUUCUUUGCUUGUCAGCUCAAUUACAGGUUGUCAGUACCAAAGAAUACACUCUUGUCAGUGGGGUGAAUAGAGGGACAGGUUAGCACCUGCUUGCUGCAGUUCCCGACCUCUUCCUACUGCUGCACACCACUGUUUGGUUUUAAGGCUGAUCUACAUCAAAGAUUACUUCUUCCCACUUCUUUAAAACUAAUUCAGUUAAAUGUAUGCACUUCAUGCACACUUCCUUAUCUUUGUCUUCGGAUAAGCAUCUUAAACUGAACAUUCCUAAUGAGCUGACAGAACCUCAUACGCUAGGCGCUGCGAUGGCUGCUGGUGAGCCUGGUUCCGUUAAGUAGUCUGAAGGAGAUAAGUAAUCUUGUCUGUGGACUGUGGUGAGACUGCUGUGGGAGUUCAUCUUGAGUUCAUGUAGUUCAUUCAGUUAAGUUCAUUCAGCAAAAGUAAGGGAAUCAAAUACAUAAUAAUUCUGAGCUGUUUGUGGCCCAGAGCUGAAAAAAGAUGUCAUUAUUCAUUUUUAAAACAAAUAUCAAAUGUAUUAUUUUAUCAGAAAAACAGUAAUGUCCUUAGGAAAACCAAAGUGUGUUUAUUGGAGAUGAGUGAGUCAGUGAAAUUAAAGCUAGCUCCAUUUCACGUUGUUCAUCUAGCAAAUUUUUAGUAACUGUUCAUGCUUCACGGUGGAAAAGAACAGCAGUGCAUAUGGUAAGUUCCUGUUAUCUUGAGAUGCAUUUUAAAAAUAAAGGUUAUUUUCACAGAACUAUAAGGUUUUAUAAUCCAUAUAUUUGAUCAUUUAUUUUUA
rnacentral:lncRNA from 1 species